rnacentral:lncRNA from 1 species
CUUAGAGUAUUUGGUGUUUUGAGACCAGUUGGAAAAGAGUGAAGUGAGCUUUGAGAGUUCAUGUUAUAAGAAAAAGAAAGGGAAAAGAAAAGAUUGAAGGAAAGGGUAGCUAGUCCUCAUCCUCCUAGUUCUCUCCCUCUCUCUCGGCCACCUGCUGCAUCCCUGCGAGCUAGCACUUCUCAGGAUGCCGGUUGAUCCAGAGGCCUCGCGUGGAUUACUUGUAGAGGCCGGAUGCUUGUGCGGUUGUGGAGCAGCAAGCUAGAACCAACCUGCUGAAAGAUUAGUGUUCUGUUUUCAGUUUUUGGAGUUGAGAUUUGAUCUCAAUUCAAGAACACAUACGAUGUGAUAUCCAUAUAUUUUUAUCACAUAUCCUGCGGAUUCAUCUGAGAAUUUCGUAGGAUUGGAUCAGAUCCAAAGUUUGCAAUGGGCUGUUUUGAACAGCCCUGUUUUAUUCCGCUGAAAAUUAUUUUCAAAUUGCAUACUUUCACCUUAAUCGGUGAAUCCUCGGCGCAUACGAUGCUCGAAUUCCCUUCAGGUACGUUUCUCUUUUUUCUUGUCUCUUUUUGUUUUUCUUUAUUUUGUCUUUGUUUCAGUUUUUGUUUUUGCUUGUUUUGUUUUAUUUCGUUUGGUUUCCUUAGUUUAAUUUCCAGAUUUGCCAGCUUCCUAUUUUUACCAUGGAUUUGUGCUCCGCUAAUCAGGUGACCUCUAUCCUAUUUUGUUUCCUAUUCUUUUAUUUCCAUACAUUGUGGACAAUGUUAUGUUUUAGUUGGGGGAGGGUAGCCUAUGUGUAUGUGUUUUUGCAUGACUUUGCUUUAAAACAAAAAAAAUGAUUACAGAAUAUUUUUGUCGGAGUCAAUUUUUCUAUCUUAGUUACGCUAUUAAGAUACCCUUAGAAUUCUUUUUUUAUGCAUGCAUCUAAGCCUUAUGGUUUGAUGGAUGUUCAAUGCAUACAAUUAGAGAACUCUCAAACUUAAGUAUUUACGCAUUUGUGAGCAUUAGAGAGAGAGAGAGUUCAUCAUGUUCAGAGACUUGUGGCAUGCAUUCAUUGAUUCUUUUGAAUUGGUUGCUCCAUUGGAAAUUUUUACUACACAGUUUGUGGUAUGUUGGUUGAUUAUACUUUGGAGAUGAUGAAGGUCAAUUUAGGAUGAACGUUUGAGCCUUUCAAGCUAACCCAUGUUUUAUCCAUUAGAAGCCGUUUUGAGCCCGAAAAAAAAGAGCCCUUUCCUUUGUAAACCCAUAUGUCCUUACCCCCCCCUCCACAUUGGAGUUGAGCCUAAAUUAUUAUAUCUUUCCUACCUUUUACUUUCAAGUACAUGCUAGGGAUGAUAAAUGUUGGUCCGCAAAUAAUGAAGAUAAGAAAGGGGAUGUACUAUGGUGGUUUCUCAUUGGUGCUAACAGGUUUGUUGAAAUGGAUUCCACGAUUGCAACCAAAGGUUGUGUUACAAAAAAAAAAAAAAAAAAGAAGAAAAAGAAAAGAAAGAAACAAAUCAACUCCACUAGCAGCUUCAACUUUCUAUUACCACAAGUCUCGAAAAUGUCUCAGGCUCUAAUCUCCACUCUGAAAAUGGUUCUAUUGGUUCCUAAACCGCUUGUCACCAGUUCAAAAUGCCAGUAUGAAGUUGUUGAUGAAAUAACCAAGUACCAUGGUUGAAUAACCCACAUGUUUAGCCUAAUACAACCAAAAUGGUAUGACUAGCGUGAAAAAAAAAGAGAGGUACAAGCGGUUUGAGGGAGUUGUGCUUGAUGUUAUAUCUUGUGAAGACCUCUAGUAUGUACUGGAAAGUUCUUUUGAAUUCUCUUAUCCAUCCUUUUAUUAUUUUUAUUUUACUUAACUUUAGCCUCAUUACAACCUUUUAUUAUUGACCUUUUUGAUCCUAAGUGGGUUUGUGGUAAGAAUGGUUGAGUUCCCAAUGGUUGGUGAUCCUAUCAUAAGAUCAAUGCUUGUUUGUUGCUUGUUCAUGAACACUUGCCUUCUCAUAUAUUUGUCUGAACACCCUUCCUUAACUCCAUAAAGAGAUCCCUUACACCAGUCUACUAUUGAAUAUUAUACCUGUGAGAUAUGGAGUUGAAGCUUUGGUUUGAAAUGUUCUCGACAUUGUAUGUGUCAGGAUCGGUGGUAAGAUGGUUACGGCUUAGAUUGCACACACACACGAAUUCUGGGAGUUGCUCUUGAUGGACUGAUUUUGAUAGUAUUAUUGAUCUCUUGCAAGUACUUUGUUUGAUAUACUUGAAUAUUAUUGCUUAGCUCAUGCAAAAGCUGUCUACACUGGAUUGGAUAUAGUCCAUUCUUUUUCUUCGCUUAAAUUGCUAGGAACUAGCAAUAAGCUGGUUGGGAGGUGUGAUAGGUGCAUGAAAAUGUACCUUUUAAUACUACCAAUUUAGGCUAAAUUUUUAAGACUUAAGCAUGAUUUGGGUAUUUUUAUGAUACUUUUCUAAUCUGAGCUUUACUUCACAAAGUGUCCAAGUCUUAAUUGAUUUCGGUGAUUUUAUUGUAGAAAUGGAGUUAAGGAGAUUGAAUAUCCCAUUGCAGUCCGAAUGAAAUAAAACUUGGUGAAAAUGAAGUAGACAUGUUGAGGUUUCAUUUGCAUCAAGA